UACAGAGGGGGCAAGCGUUAUUCGGAAUUAUUGGGCGUAAAGGGCGCGUAGGCGGCUACACAAGUGGCGGGUGAAAUCCCUCGGCUUAACCGAGGAACUGCCUGCCAGACUGUGUGGCUUGAGACCGGGAGAGGUGAGUGGAAUUCCCAGUGUAGCGGUGAAAUGCGUAGAUAUUGGGAGGAACACCAGUGGCGAAGGCGGCUCACUGGACCGGUACUGACGCUGAGGCGCGAAAGCGUGGGGAGCAAACAGG
rnacentral:rRNA from 1 species